rnacentral:rRNA from 1 species
UCUCAAGAAGUUAGCGACGGACGGGUGAGUAACACGUGGGUAACCUGCCCAUAAGACUGGGAUAACUCCGGGAAACCGGGGCUAAUACCGGGAUAACAUUUUUAACUGGGNNGGUUNNAAAUUGAAAGGCGUCUUCUGCUGUCACUUAUGGAUGGACCCGCGUCGCAUUAACUAGUUGGUGAGGUAACGGCUCACCAAGGCAACGAUGCGUAGCCGACCUGAGAGGGUGAUCGGCCACACUGGGACUGAGACACGGCCCAUACUCCUACGGGAGGCAGCAGUAGGGAAUCUUCCGCAAUGGACGAAAGUCUGACGGAGCAACUCCGCGUGAGUGAUGAAAGCUUUUUGGUCGUAAAACUCUUUUGUUAGGGAAGAACAAGUGCUAGUUGAAUAAGCUGGCACCUUGAC